GAUUGAAAGAGCUUGUGGCCCCUUGAAGGGGGCGUGUCUAGGGCAGAGCUGAGAGCUGGUGGUUUUCUGAAGAGGCGCCAGGAAGUGCCCGGUGGGGUGGGGCCAAGCCCUCUGCUGAGUAUUGCUUUUUGAAUAACCCCGGUGUGUUUGGAGCUGUGGAGGUGGUCUCUGAUAGCCGGGGGCCUGGACCGGGGGAAUUUUGGCUACGUGUGUGAGAAGCAGAUGUGGAGAACAAACUUUCCUGGAAUAUUGAGCUGCCUUGGACAACAGAUGGUUUCUCCAGAAGUUAGAGAUGCUUAACUCUGAGCAGCCUUAUCAGGAUCUGAAACCCCUGCCAGAUGGAAGAAGUGAACUAUGCCACCCACAAGCAGGAAGACCUGAGACCGGCUGGAACCACAAGGGUGAUGCUGCUGCUGCCCGUGACCUCAUCACAGACCCAACAGAAGAGCGUCCUCGGGUUGAUCAGGCUCUGCUCCCUGAACACCAUAAGACUCCUCAGACCCCUCCAGGACCAGACACACAGCCUUUUAUUUAUGUUAAUAUUUUAUUGAUCUAUUUAUUUGGCUGCCUUGGUUCUGAUUUGCAGGUGCGGGAUAGUCCCUCCCUCUGGUGGGAUCUUGCUUGUAGCGCAGAGACUCACCAGCUGUGGGGCGAGGGCUCAGCUGCUCCUGGGCUGUGAGAUCUUAGAUUCCCCACCAGGGAUCGAACCCAGGUCCGCUGCAUUUCAAGGUGGACUCUAAACCACUGGACGACUGGAAGUCCCAGGACACAGUCUUGAGGGCAUUAGCCUGCUUGGUCCCCCGUGUGUGUCAAAGCAGUAAAGCUGGUUUUUCCAUUUCAUUUAAAACUCUCUCUCUCAGAUGUAAUCUGGCCCCAGGACACAGAGGCCCAAUUUUGGCAAGGAGAUCUGGAGAGAAGCCAGGAGCCAUUGGAAGAACAGGGUCCUGGGGGCAGGAGGGCUGAGGGACCUGAGUCUCACUGGGGUGGAAGGCUGCGAGAGGCCAAACGGGGCUUCCGGAGGUGGCGUCCUGCGGGCAGCAGGCUCAGCGCUGCGGCGCAGACCCGGGGCUGCGGAGGGAGACACCCGAUCUCAGCAGAUCGGCCACAGGAGCCAGGACGGCCCUGAGAGGGGUCGGGGCGCACAGGGCCCGGGCGCCAGUCAUCCAGGGACAGAACAGGGUCAGAACAGACAGGAGGAGAAGCUCUGUGCCACGGAGGCGCCCCCGGAGUGUAAGGACCGGCCCGGAGGGGAAGCGUGUGGACCAGGGUGUGGACUCCAAGAAGCUCUGUGCUUCCCAAGGCGGGGCCCAGGAGGCUGGCGGUUCCAACAGCGCUGGAUGCACCUGAGGCCUCUUUGCCUCAAGAAUGGAAACUGGGGAUGCAGUCCCGUCCGUCCCCUCCGAAUAGAGUUAUUCCUCUCCCUGAUUUGUCCCACCCACCCCUCAGGGCAGUGCCCUUCUCUUCACCCCUCGCCCCCUAAACUCGUCCCCCAUCCCCGGCUUUUCUAGAUUCUUUCGUGCUCUGCACACUCCGAGGCCCGCCCCAUCCUCCAUUCCCUCCCUCUCCCCGCUCUCCAGGUUCUAGAUUUCAGACAGGCUGGGACCUGGGCUGCAGUGCUUCCUCGUGGACACACAGCUUCUUGAGCCACAGAGAGCAAGGAAACCACAAGGGACUAACAAUCACUACACACACGAGCAGUGGGGGCAAGUGAUGCACCAGAUCAGAAAGAAAAGAUCAAAACUCCAGUCCCCCCUUCAGAGCUGGAGAACUAAACUGGGCUCCUGGACGUGAUGCCUGCACACAGCUCCACCAAGGGGCUGCACAGACCUCGCAUUCAGCCCUCCCGCCCAACGCUGGACCCAGCCCACCCUCACCCCAUUUAAUGGAGCAGAUUUCCCACAGGCGCCCUGACACCCCCUCACCCCCCAGGAGCAAACAAGGGAACUUGUCAUUUGUUUGACUCCCUUCCUGAUGCACCCAGAGCUCCA